GCCGGAAUGGCGGAAUUGGUAGACGCCCGGGACUUAAAAUCCCGUGGGACGUUGGUCCCGUGCCGGUUCGAGCCCGGUUUCCGGCACCA
rnacentral:tRNA from 1 species